rnacentral:snoRNA from 1 species
CCUGCCACUAAAGGCAUUGCAGAUGUGGCUGCCGUGUCACAUGUGCAUCAUCAGAAGGUGGCAGAGAGGAGAGGCGCUAUGAGUAAGCUCAGUGUUCUACCUACGAACAUCUGCAUGAUUAGCAGCCUAACUUA